CCGUCGCAGGCUUUGUUCUACCAUUUCCAAAGCAGCGAGGAAAGAAGGUAGCCAUUACAGAGUGGUCUGUGAAAUCUUACCAAACCCUGGUGCAGCGGACGCCGUAAGACUGGACAAAACAGUGUUGAUCAAAACAUUUUCGACAUAUUAAGCGAGUAGUAACAAUAACAAAAUGGAGAACGAAAGCAAAUAUCUUCCAGAACUGCUGGCAGAAAAAGACAGCUUGGAUUCGUCGUUCACUCAUGCAAUGAAACUUGUAACUGCAGAAAUUGAGAGGAUUCAGAAGGGCGAGCCAAAAAAAGAGGAAGGAGAGACCUACUUGGACCUUUUCACUGCAAAGAAUGUCAAAUUGAAGGAGAGAGUGCUCAUUCCAGUCAAGCAGUAUCCCAAGUUCAACUUUGUGGGGAAGAUUCUGGGUCCCCAAGGGAACACAAUUAAGCGUCUCCAGGAGGACACGGGCGCCAAGAUCUCCGUCCUGGGAAAAGGGUCCAUGAGGGACAAAGCCAAGGAGGAGGGUCUGAGAAAAAGCGGUGAGCCCAAGUAUGCCCACCUGUCCAUGGAGCUGCACGUCUUCAUCGAGGUGUUCGCCCCGGUGCCAGAGGCCUACCUGCGCAUGGCCCACGCUAUGGAGGAGGUCAAGAAGUUCCUGUUUCCUGAUAUGAUGGAUGAUAUCUGCCAGGAGCAGUUUAUGGAGAUGAGCUACCUGAACGGGGGCCAGGAGCCCGGAACCCGGGGCAGAGGAGGCCCACCAGUCCGAGGACGUGGAGCACCCCCACCGCCUGCGCCUGGGGCCAGGAAGCCGGACAACCCAGAGCUGACGAAGUGCAGCGGGCAUCUCUUAGCUGCUGAUUGGGGAAGCACCAUAUUUCCUGUUGGAUUCCUCUUUGGCUCCUGUAGCAGGGGUCCAGUCAGGUGGGACUGCGGACAGCAGUCAUUCAGGGGCCGAGGAAUGGCACCACGCGGAGGUGCCCCACGGGGGGGCCCGGCCAGGGGCGGAGCCGUUAGGGGUGGUCCCUCGGGGCGCGGCGGACCCCCCGCCCAGCCUGCCCGAGGGGCAGCAGCUGGCCGCGCCAGGCCCCCUGCACCAGGGCCACAGAGGAUGCCCCCUUCACACCCCCCAGCGCCCGAGCCCUACGAAGAAUAUACCUAUGAAGAAAGCUACACUGAGCCAACUUAUGAAACAUAUGACAAUUACUACACUCAACCACAGGCAGAACCUGAGUACUAUGACUACGGGCACGGGGAAGCACAGGAGGCAUACGAGCCGUACGGUCAGGAUGACUGGAAUGGAAACCGGGCUUCUGGCGGUGGAAAAGCCCCCCAGUCCAGGCCAGCCACCAAAGGGCCGUACAGGGAACACCCUUAUGGAAGAUACUGAAAUGGGCAAAGAGGAAGUUCAUGUUAAGCACGUUGCCCUGACAACCUACUGUCUCCAUUGGCAGCUCUCGCUUUAAGCAACCACACAAAAGCAAUAAAAUGGAGGCUGGACAAAGAUGAUGGAAAGAGAUGAGCUGCCCUCUGUUUGCUCAGGGGCUCUGCAGAACACUCUUAAGGGUGGGAGUCUGUCCAACAUUAUGGCCUGAACAAAAAUGUGAAUGGGAGAAAGUGGUAGAGAAUGCCACUGCCAUCUGUGAAGACCCCAAACCUGUCCCCUUCCAAAUAAUGCAGAACCCAAAAACCGUCCUUAUGAUUGCAUCACGCCACCUGCUCUCGAUUGCUCAUUGGUUGUAGUUGACUGUAUUGUGGGUAGCGAUCUGAAAGUUGUGCAAUUUGAGAGAAUAUCUUCAGAACCAUCAUCAUCUUAUUAACUCUGCCCACAAGGAUAAGGCGUUUCAGUCACGUACAUUUUACCCAGGUAUCCCCACCCACUGAAAACUUGGCAUUUAGCCAAAGGGGUAAGCAAGCCAAUCUCAGCAAAGGCUUUUCUUUGUUCCCCCCUGAAGAAUCAUUUAAAAGUAUUUCUGGACCAUAUUUGAAUGCAAAAAAGUAUAACGCAUGAGAAAAGAAUUUACAGAUUUCAGUGUCCUGGACCUUUAAUGGCAUUUUUACUCACUUUUUCACAAUUCGGGCACCAUAAUGUUUGUGACAUAUUAACAUUGUGUGAUUGAAAGCAGUCAUAUUUAGUUGGUACUUUGUUGCAUAUACUUUGCAUGCAAUGACUGCUUAAAUCUGUGACCCAUAGACAUCACCAGGUGCUGCGUAUCUUCUCUGGUGAUGCUCUGCCAGGACUGUACUGCAGCCAUCUUCAGCUCCUGCUUGUUUCUGGGGCUAGUUGCGUUAAAUGUUCUCUUCAGCAUGUGAAACACAUGUUCAAUUUGAUUCAGUUCAGGUGAAUUACUUGGCCAGUCAAGAAUUUUCUAGUUUUUGGUUUUGGAAACCUCCUUUGUUAUUUAGCAGUAGGUGUGGGAUCAUUGUCUUGCCGUUGGGUUGAGCGCCGUCCAAUGAUUUUGGAGGCAUUUGCUUGGACUUGAGCAGAUAAGAUGCUUCUGUGCUCUUCAGAAUUAAUUCUGCUGCUGCUAUCAGCAGUUACAUCAAUGAAGGCAAGUGAGCCAGUAUCUGCGUCAGCCAUACUUGCCCAAACUGUAACACAUCAGUCUACAGCUGUGUAGGUCUUCCUUGGAUUUUGCGAUUACUGAGAUCACCAGUGAUCUUUCUUCUUAAUGAAGUUCCAAACAGUUCAUUUUGGUAAGCUUGGUUUGGCCUAAUUCUCAAGUUUAGCAUCAAGACUAGAUACUGAAGCUGUCUUAUACCUGCACUGAGGAAGCAACUGAACACACCUGACUAAGCAGAAAAGCCUGCGAAGCCAUUUGUCCCAAAUAUUAUGGUGACCUGAAAUGGGGGGGAUAUGCGAAUAAGAAGUGAUGUAAUUUCUACAUGGUGAAACCAAAAUGUAUUAAAAUGCCCUUUAAUACAAGCUGAGAAUGUACGCACACUACAUAUAUUAACUGUUUGAUUGCAAAUCUAAAAUUGUGCAGUACAGAAAUAUGAACAUAAUCUUUUUUUCUGAACAUUAUACAGCUCGCUGUGUGUGUGUAUUUUUGCCUUAUUUGUGCUUCCUUAUUACCAACACAACAUUUUAAAUAUAUUUUAUUUAUGCAAGGCAAGCGAUUUUUCCACCACAGUUUUGUACAUAAUCGAAUAUGCAAGAGGAUUUAAAAUGCAUUCCGGUUCCGUUGCCUGUUUCAAGGUUCUGUUAUCCUCAGAAUGAAUUGCUAUGGUAAUGUCUGUGGCUUCAUUCUGUUGGCAGUGUGGGUGGAAAGGGGAAGGGUGAGCUCUGAAUGUAAAAAUGCCGCCUGCAUCCACAACCAUCAGCUGGCUUGCAACUGCGGUGUGUGCCCUUAUCCCUUUUAGCCUCCCCCCCCCCGUCUAUAAAAGAUGGUUUUCGCAUGAGAAAUCAUUUGUGGUGUUGACUUGUAGGUCACGCACGUGCGCGCGCAGCCGUGUGAGGAGUUCAGCCUUCCUACAAACUCACUUCAGGCCAGCCGUUCCCUCCAGUCCCUCCCACAGCACUGCAGGUAAUGCUGAUGGCAGCAUUUGAAACCGGGCUGUGUGGUAUAAUGUUAAGCACAAGUCGCUCAUGGCUGUAGAUUUAAUGAGCGUUAGCCUCUGCCUGGGCUCCAUUUUAAAAAAUUGAAAAUCUGUGAGAAGCGAUCUGUAAUGGACACAAAUGCAAAGAGAAUCCCUAAAAGCGGAUAAUGGGACAACUCCAUUAGUGUUGUGUCGCUGAAUGGAGGGGUAAAAAAAGAUCUUCAGCGGUAUAUAAUAUGGCAGAAGGCUUUAAAAUGUGCCAUUGCUAAUGAUAGGGGUCAUGCUUUCAGUAGCUUAGAUCAGGUUGGUGGUGGCAGAUUAAUAUAAUACAAAAGAUGAAAAGCACAUUGAUGCUGACUAUCAGAUGGUGGACACAUUGUGGUUUUUCAAUGGGUGGCUGCCUGUGGAAUUAAAAAAAGUGCUCGUGUUUUUCUCCCUUUGUGGGAUGAAUGUAAGAAGAUGGCCCAUUUUUAAAACUGCAUAAUGCCAUUCAGCCCAUUAGUUUUUUUGAAACCCGUGCUAAUUGAGCACCAGCCUGCAGUGGCACAGGUUCAGCCUCUGCCUUUGUCCAAACAUGGCUGUUUAAACCAUGCCUGUACAUUGCACUUUCUCAGUCACCAGACUCGGAAUGAUGAACCCAUGGCUACAUGGGUUCUGCAUUCUAAAAGUUUUCUGAGACUGCCAUUGGUUGCAGCUUGUAUAUGUUCAAGAUGCUUGACUAUUUAAUUUGUCUGGUCCAAUGGAUCGCCAAGGUUUCUGGCGAGUGCGUCUCUGCUCAUGAAUAUUCAUGAACAGUCGCAAUGUAUUUGAUGCUAGAAUGAUGGCAUCCAAACCACAUAACAGUUUUUCUAAUUAAUAUUCAUAUGCAUAUGUUAUUCCUGGGCAGAAAUACACUUUGGAAGGGCCAGAAGUAGAUGGAAUGACUUGUGAGCAGAAUCGUUCGUUUUUGUUGUAGCUACAUGAAGGUUGUGUGCGAACAGUUGUGUAGGAACAGAUGUAACGCUAGAGCAAGGACAGAUCUGACAAACGAAGGGCAUCAACCUGCAGUGAUUUCAGACCACUGAUCUACACAACUUUUGCCUGGAGUACUUUGUUUCCUACUGUCUUUUGUUCAGUUUUUAAUAAAAUGCGUUUUUGACUUUG